AGUGAACGCUGGCGGUAGGCCUAACACAUGCAAGUCGAACGGCAGCACAGGAGAGCUUGCUCUCUGGGUGGCGAGUGGCGGACGGGUGAGGAAUACAUCGGAAUCUACUCUGUCGUGGGGGAUAACGUAGGGAAACUUACGCUAAUACCGCAUACGACCUACGGGUGAAAGCAGGGGAUCUUCGGACCUUUCGCGAUUGCAUGAGCCGAUGUCGGAUUAGCUAGUUGGCGGGGUAAAGGCCCACCAAGGCGACGAUCCGUAGCUGGUCUGAGAGGAUGAUCAGCCACACUGGAACUGAGACACGGUCCAGACUCCUACGGGAGGCAGCAGUGGGGAAUAUUGGACAAUGGGCGCAAGCCUGAUCCAGCCAUACCGCGUGGGUGAAGAAGGCCUUCGGGUUGUAAAGCCCUUUUGUUGGGAAAGAAAUCCAGCUGGUUAAUACCCGGUUGGGAUGACGGUACCCAAAGAAUAAGCACCGGCUAACUUCGUGCCAGCCGCCGCGGUAA
rnacentral:rRNA from 1 species